UAGAUAAAGAGAGAGAGAAUAAAAGUACCUAUUAUAGAAUUAUAAUUAUAUAUAUAUAUGUGUGUGUGUGUGU